rnacentral:rRNA from 1 species
AGAACGAACGCUGGCGGCAGGCCUAACACAUGCAAGUCGAACGCCCCGCAAGGGGAGUGGCAGACGGGUGAGUAACGCGUGGGAACGUGCCCUUCGGUUCGGAAUAACUCAGGGAAACUUGAGCUAAUACCGGAUACGUCCGUAAAGGAGAAAGAUUUAUCGCCGAAGGAUCGGCCCGCUUCGGAUUAGCUA